CCUACGGGAGGCAGCAGUGGGGAAUAUUGGACAAUGGGCGAAAGCCUGAUCCAGCCAUGCCGCGUGUGUGAAGAAGGUCUUCGGAUUGUAAAGCACUUUAAGUUGGGAGGAAGGGCAGUAAGUUAAUACCUUGCUGUUUUGACGUUACCAACAGAAUAAGCACCGGCUAACUUCGUGC
rnacentral:rRNA from 1 species